ACCUGUGGAAGGAUCAUUA
rnacentral:rRNA from 1 species